GGGUGAGUAACACGUAAGUAAUUUUCCUUUAAGACGGGGAUAGCAUCGUGAAAACGGUGGUAAUACCCGAUGUUAUCAUUUCUUCGCAUGGAGAGAUGAUCAAAGGUGGGGAUCCUUCGGGACCUACCGCUUGAAGAUGAGCUUGCGUACCAUCAGCUUGUUGGUGAGGUAAUGGCUCACCAAGGCUAAGACGGUUAGCUGGUCUGAGAGGAUGGUCAGCCACACUGGGACUGAGACACUGCCCAGACUCC
rnacentral:rRNA from 1 species